rnacentral:rRNA from 1 species
UAGCCGUAAACGAUACUCGCUAGGUGUCGGCCACGGUGCGACCGUUGUCGGUGCCGUAGGGAAGCCGUGAAGCGAGCCACCUGGGAAGUACGGCCGCAAGGCUGAAACUUAAAGGAAUUGGCGGGGGAGCACCACAACGGGUGGAGCUUGCGGUUUAAUUGGAUUCAACGCCGGAAAUCUUACCGGGACCGACAGCAACAUGAAGGCCAGGCUGAAGACUUUGCCGGAUUAGCUGAGAGGAGGUGCAUGGCGUAGU